AGAUGCCAAACUGCAGAACCUCUUUACCCCUCCAGACUAAUUUUUUCAUCUGUGCAACUGGUUUUUCAUCUGCUUUGAGGAACUCAGGUCCUUCCUUCUGACCCCUCUACGUUUGCUGGGCAUGUGCAGGGAAGUUAGACAGAGCGGGGUUUGGAGUGAAGCCACUCAAGUCUGCGUCCCUACUUUGCAGCUUGCUGGCUCCACGGCCAAACACAAAUCACCUUCUUUCUCUAGCUCUCGGUUUGCUCAGAGGGAGGAUGAUGGCCCGCGUCGUGGGCGCAACUCAGCAUCAGACUCAAAGCUUCUUUAGGAAGACACGGCCUGGACACAGGGAUACAGACAAGGCCUCUAUAAACCACAGCGUAUGGCUGCAGCUUUCUCAGCCUGGGGAGAGGACUGGGUUGCACAUGCAGACAAGGCGGAAGCCUUGACCAAGACCCCUGAGUCCACGGUGCCGCCUGGCAAAAUGUAUCGCGUCGUGAGCACACCGCCGGCAGUAAACGGCCAGGAGCCAAGAGCCGAGGACCUGCUGAAGCCAAUGCCGCUCACUGUGGAUGGAGACCUGGCCUGCGUGGAGCUGAGGGGCCAGAAGGCUCAACAGCUGGGAGAACUCACCGCGGGGGUCAGCCUGAGGGGGUCUGACCCUUGACCUUCUCAUUCCUUAGCCCUGUGACCUCACUCAAAUUGUUUCACCUCUUUGCCCUUCAAUUCCCCUUCUGUAAAAUAGGACCGGAAACGAACCCA